rnacentral:rRNA from 1 species
UACAGAGGUGGCAAGCGUUGUUCGGAAUUACUGGGCGUAAAGGGCGCGUAGGCGGCCUGCUAAGUCGAACGUGAAAUUCCUGGGCUCAACCCAGGAACUGCGUCCGAUACUGGUUGGCUUGAAUCCGGGAGAGGGACGUGGAAUUCCGGGUGUAGCGGUGGAAUGCGUAGAGAUCCGGAAGAACACCGGUGGCGAAGGCGGCCUGCUGGGCAGUAGCUGACACUGAGGCGCGACAGCGUGGGGAGCAAACAGG